UGGGGAAUAUUGGACAAUGGGCGAAAGCCUGAUCCAGCCAUGCCGCGUGUGUGAAGAAGGUCUUCGGAUUGUAAAGCACUUUAAGUUGGGAGGAAGGGCAUUAACCUAAUACGUUAGUGUUUUGACGUUACCGACAGAAUAAGCACCGGCUAACUCUGUGCCAGCAGCCGCGGUAAUACAGAGGGUGCAAGAGUUAAUCGGAAUUACUGGGCGUAAAGCGCGCGUAGGUGGUUUGUUAAGUUGGAUGUGAAAUCCCCGGGCUCAACCUGGGAACUGCAUUCAAAACUGACUGACUAGUGUAUGGUAGAGGGUGGUGGAAUUUCCUGUGUAGCGGUGAAAUGCGUAGAUAUAGGAAGGAACACCAGUGGCGAAGGCGACCACCUGGACUAAUACUGACACUGAGGUGCGAAAGCGUGGGGAGCAAACA
rnacentral:rRNA from 1 species